GACGAACGCUGGCGGCGUGCUUAACACAUGCAAGUCGAACGGAAAGGCCCUGCUUUUGUGGGGUGCUCGAGUGGCGAACGGGUGAGUAACACGUGAGUAUCCUGCCCUUGACUUUGGGAUAACUUCAGGAAACUGGGGCUAAUACCGGAUAGGUGCUCCUGCUGCACGGUGGGUGUUGGAAAGUUUCGGCGGUCGGGGAUGGACUCGCGGCUUAUCAGCUUGUUUGUGGGGUAGUGGCUUACCAAGGCUUUGACAGGUUGCCGGCCUGAGAGGGUGACCGGCCACAUUGGGACUGAGAUACGGCCCACACUCCCACGGGAGGCAGCAGGCGGGAACAUUGCACUAUAGGCGGAAGCCUGAUGCAGCAACUCCGCGUUGGGGAUGACCACCUUCGGGUAGUAAACCGCUUUCGCCUGUGACGUAGAGUGAGUGACGGUACUAGGUAAAGAAGCACCGGCUAACUACGUG
rnacentral:rRNA from 1 species